CAAUGAACAGACUUCUUUGUGUAGUUUUCAUUAUAUUGCACUCUUAUUUUUCAUUAUGUACAUGCCUGCAAUUCGCAGCUCGCUGUUUUUGUUGUUGUAUGGUAUUGUUGUUUUGCCUUCAUUUGUUUUGUCUGGUCCUUUGUAGUUUGAAUGUUGUCACAUGAUCCAAAUAGGACAAGCUCCUUGAUCACCACCCCAUUGGGAAGAAACUAAAUCACGACCCCCAAAUGGUAGUCUUCCCAUGCAGAUACAGGGAUGUCACACAGAUCCAAAUGGAAACAUCGAACACUGUAAAACCCACUGUGCAGACAGGACCAAUGGUGACAAUAUAAGACCAUGCCGAGCUUCAUGGACGGUUCAAACUCAUCCUGCCCAGGAACGGCUGAUAUGAAAUGCAUAUUUAUAACUUGUCUAACAAGUAGCUCAUUCAAAGGUAUAAAAAAGUAUUUUUUGGCGUGUGUAGGGUAUUUUAACUAUGUAGCCUACAGAAUGCUUGUAUGGGCUCAUGUAGGUGUCUGCGUACGUUUGUAUUUAUAUAACAUAUGUCCGUGUGUAUAGAUUAUGUAUUUUUCAGGGAAGGACCAUAUUUGUGGUUGACCCCUAUGUUGUU